AGGGAUGUAGCUCAGCCGGUAGACCGCUUUUUUUUCCGCAUAUAUGAGGUCCCGGGUUCGAGUCCUGGCAUCUCCA
rnacentral:tRNA from 1 species